GAGAAGUUUUGCAAUUUGCAACGAAACUAGAAUGGCUGAUGCCCGUGGCGCGGCGCACUGAAAAAUGGGAGGCGGUUGAUGGCACUGGGUAAGCGGUGCGAACCCGAAUAUUUUCACGAAAUCUGGAAUGGUCCCUGACUACAAUAGAUCGAAAAGACAGCGAUAUAGGCGAGCGAAAUAGAAACUAUAGGAUGAGCCGUUGCAAAGUUGCUGAUGACGCAAGUGCUUGUACUGUAACCUGAGCAAGCGAAGGAAGCAAAAAGAUUCCUGAGGGUAGCGAAGGUUUCAAGCCACGAGACGCUGCCGA